GUAAAGAUUUUAAGGGCGUACGGUGGAUGCCUUGGCGAUAUCAGCCGAAGAAGGACACGGUAAGCUGCGAUAAGCUACGGAGAGGUGCAAGCAACCUUUGACCCGUAGAUUUCCGAAUGGGGGAACCCGGCAGUGGUUAUGCACUGUCACCCAUAGCUUAGACUAUGAGGAGGGCACCUGGGGAACUGAAACAUCUAAUUACCCAGAGGAACAGUAAUCAAACGAGAUUUUCUUAGUAGCGGCGAGCGAACGGGAAAGAGGCCAAACCGGAGCGGGCAACCGCACCGGGGUUGAGGACAGUCAUCAAGUGUAAAUGAGGUANNNNNNNNNNGGUGAAAGCCCUGUAAUCGAAACCUUGCAUACAUGGGACUGUAUCCAGAGUACCACGAGACACGUGAAACCUUGUGGGAAGCAGGGGGGACCACCCUCCAAGCCAAAAUACUGAUAUCGACCGAUAGCGCAUAGUACCGUGAGGGAAAGGUGAAAAGAACCCCUGGCGGGGAGUGAAAGAGAACCUGAAACCGUAUGUCUACAAACAGUCGAAGUCUGUAUAUAUAUCAGGACGACGGCGUGCCUAUUGAAGAAUGAACCGACGAGUUACUGUUGCUAGCGAGGUUAAGUGGAAAACAUGGAGCCGCAGCGAAAGCGAGUCUGAACAGGGCGUUCAGUUAGUAAUAGUAGACCCGAAACCGUAGUGAUCUAUCCAUGGCCAGGUUGAAGCACAGGUAAAAUUGUGUGGAGGACCGAACUCGUGAGCGUUGAAAAGCUUUGGGAUGAGUUGUGGAU
rnacentral:rRNA from 1 species